UACGUAGGGUGCAAGCGUUAAUCGGAAUUACUGGGCGUAAAGCGCACGUAGGCGGCUUCUUAAGUCGGUGGUGAAAUCCUGGAGCUCAACUCCAGAACUGCCUUCGAUACUGGGAAGCUUGAGUCCGGGAGAGGUGAGUGGAACUGCGAGUGUAGAGGUGAAAUUCGUAGAUAUUCGCAAGAACACCAGUGGCGAAGGCGGCUCACUGGCCCGGUACUGACGCUGAGGUGCGAAAGCGUGGGGAGCAAACAGG
rnacentral:rRNA from 1 species